rnacentral:rRNA from 1 species
ACCCCCGGAAACGGGGUCUUUCCGACUUGUUCGGAACAAAGUGACAGGUGCUGCAUGGCUGUCGUCAGCUCGUGUCGUGAGAUGUUGGGUUAAGUCCCGCAACGAGCGCAACCCUUGUCUUUAGUUGCCAUUAUUAAGUUAGGAACUCUAAAGAUACUGCCUCGGUUAACGGGGAGGAAGGUGGGGAUGACGUCAAGUCCUCAUGGCCUUUAUAUCCAGGGCUACACACGUGCUACAAUGGGCUGUACAAAGAGACGCUAUCCCGUGAGGAGGCGCUAAUCUCAAAAAGCAGCUCUCAGUUCGGAUUGGAGUCUGCAACUCGANNNCAUGAAGGUGGAAUCGCUAGUAAUCGUGGAUCAGCAUGCCACGGUGAAUACGUUCCCGGGCCUUGUACACACCGCCCGUCACACCAC